UUAUGACGUACUUGUACUGAUUGAGAUUUUAACACGAAGUGAGUGGCGAACGGGUGAGUAACACGUGGGUAACCUGCCCAGAAGUAGGGGAUAACACCUGGAAACAGAUGCUAAUACCGUAUAACAGAGAAAACCGCAUGGUUUUCUUUUAAAAGAUGGCUCUGCUAUCACUUCUGGAUGGACCCGCGGCGUAUUAGCUAGUUGGUGAGGUAAAGGCUCACCAAGGCAGUGAUACGUAGCCGACCUGAGAGGGUAAUCGGCCACAUUGGGACUGAGACACGGCCCAGACUCCUACGGGAGGCAGCAGUAGGGAAUCUUCCACAAUGGACGCAAGUCUGAUGGAGCAACGCCGCGUGAGUGAAGAAGGGUUUCGGCUCGUAAAGCUCUGUUGUUAAAGAAGAACGUGGGUAAGAGUAACUGUUUACCCAGUGACGGUAUUUAACCAGAAAGCCACGGCUAACUACGUGCCAGCAGCCGCGGUAAUACGUAGGUGGCAAGCGUUAUCCGGAUUUAUUGGGCGUAAAGCGAGCGCAGGCGGUC
rnacentral:rRNA from 1 species